rnacentral:rRNA from 1 species
AUCCUACGGGACGCAGCAGUGGGGGAUAUUGCACAAUGGGGGGAACCCUGAUGCAGCGACGCCGCGUGGGUGAAGAAGCGCCUCGGCGCGUAAAGCCCUGUCAGCAGGGAAGAAAAUGACAGUACCUAAGGAGGAAGCUCCGGCUAACUACGUGCCAGCAGCCGCGGUAAUACGUAGGGAGCAAGCGUUAUCCGGAUUUAUUGGGUGUAAAGGGUGUGUAGACGGGAAAUUAAGUUAGUUGUGAAAUCCCUCGGCUCAACUGAGGAACUGCAACUAAAACUGGUUUUCUUGAGUGUUGGAGAGGG